rnacentral:rRNA from 1 species
UACGGGGGGGGCGAGCGUUGUCCGGAUUCAUUGGGCGUAAAGAGCUCGUAGGCGGCUUGGCAAGUCGGGUGUGAAAACUUCAGGCUCAACCUGGAGCGGCCACUCGAUACUGCCAUGGCUUGAGUCCGGUAGGGGACCACGGAAUUCCUGGUGUAGCGGUGAAAUGCGCAGAUAUCAGGAGGAACACCGGUGGCGAAGGCGGUGGUCUGGGCCGGAACUGACGCUGAGGAGCGAAAGCGUGGGGAGCGAACAGG